rnacentral:SRP_RNA from 1 species
AGGGGGUCAACCGCCUUAGCCGGGGGAACCUGGCCAGGCCCGGAAGGGAGCAACCUAACCUCGGCCGUCGACGUUCAUGGGUCACCGGGGCAGAG